rnacentral:rRNA from 2 species
GCUAGAGACGCUGGCGGCGUGCCUAAUACAUGCAAGUCGAACGAACUCUGGUAUUGAUUGGUGCUUGCAUCAUGAUUUACAUUUGAGUGAGUGGCGAACUGGUGAGUAACACGUGGGAAACCUGCCCAGAAGCGGGGGAUAACACCUGGAAACAGAUGCUAAUACCGCAUAACAACUUGGACCGCAUGGUCCGAGCUUGAAAGAUGGCUUCGGCUAUCACUUUUGGAUGGUCCCGCGGCGUAUUAGCUAGAUGGUGGGGUAACGGCUCACCAUGGCAAUGAUACGUAGCCGACCUGAGAGGGUAAUCGGCCACAUUGGGACUGAGACACGGCCCAAACUCCUACGGGAGGCAGCAGUAGGGAAUCUUCCACAAUGGACGAAAGUCUGAUGGAGCAACGCCGCGUGAGUGAAGAAGGGUUUCGGCUCGUAAAACUCUGUUGUUAAAGAAGAACAUAUCUGAGAGUAACUGUUCAGGUAUUGACGGUAUUUAACCAGAAAGCCACGGCUAACUACGUGCCAGCAGCCGCGGUAAUACGUAGGUGGCAAGCGUUGUCCGGAUUUAUUGGGCGUAAAGCGAGCGCAGGCGGUUUUUUAAGUCUGAUGUGAAAGCCUUCGGCUCAACCGAAGAAGUGCAUCGGAAACUGGAAAACUUGAGUGCAGAAGAGGACAGUGGAACUCCAUGUGUAGCGGUGAAAUGCGUAGAUAUAUGGAAGAACACCAUUGGCGAAGGCGGCUGUCUGGUCUGUAACUGAACGCUGAAGCUCGAAAGUAUGGGGUAGAAAACAGGAUUAGAUACCAUGGUAGUCCAAUACAGUAGACGAUGAAUGCG